GGCCCCACUCGCCGCCCUCUGCCCCUCUCACCGCCUACCCCCCAGCCCCAACAACUCCCCCGACGCUCUCUCCCCGGACGCGGCGAUACUGAGAGCGAGAGAGAUGUGGCGGAGCUGCGCAUCCCGAGGCCUUCGCCUCUGCUCCAAGAAGGCGGCGUCGGCGUCGGUCGGAAGCCAAUGAAUCCGCUCCUCGCCUUCUACCUCCAUCCACCAACUCGGUUGGGCAGUACACUGUUGUGGAUCACACCUACAAUGCAAUAGGUGCUGGGCUCAGAGCGGCCAUCAGACUUGCAGAGCAUGGCUUUAACACAGCGUGCAUUACCAAGCUCUUUCCUACUCGCUCCCAUACAGUUGCUGUACAGGAUGGUAUAAGUGCAGCACUUGGAAAUAUGACUGAAGAUGACUGGAGGUGGCAUAUGUAUGAUACGGUCAAAGGAAGUGAUUGGUUAGGUAACUUGCUCAGGGCAUGUUACAUUUCAUAGUUCAAUGUUUUGGCACAGAGUGAAGGAGUUCUUCCUGGUAUGUUUAAUUUAUUUAGGAACCUGAAGCAUUAGCACAGUUACUCUUUCAUAAUAUGGCUGGAAAUCUAAUUUUCUUUGUGAUCUGAUUAUUGUAUGUUUUAGCACACAAUGGAGGACUCUUUCUGGUAUAUUUGGUUUAAGUAGGAACCUGAAGCAUUAGCACUACUGCUCUUUCAUAAUAUAGCUGGGACUCUAACUUACUAUCUUUAUGAUCUGUUUUUCGUUCUAGCAAAUAUUCUGAACUUUUAAUAAUUUGAUCCAGGGUAUGUUGUACUAGCCCGAACUGGAUGAUACAAAGCGUCCCGUACCAUACCGUUUUGAUACCGGAAUGGGUGGUGUAUCGACACUAGGUGCGCAAAAAAAAUUUCGUACGAUACUGAACCGACACUAUACUAGUAUGCCACCGAUACAGGGUCCGUGAUCAGGAUGCCAUUCAAUAUAUGAGCAGAGGAGCACCAAAAGUAGUUAUUGAGCUAGAAAAUUUUGCAUCACCAUUUCUCAUGAACCGAAGAUGGGAACAUUUAUCAACACGCUUUUGGAGGUCAAAGUUUGAACUUUGGAAAAGGCCUAUAUCGCUGCGCAUGUGCUGCUGAUCGAACUGCACAUGCAUUGUUGCACACACUUUAUGGUCAAGCAAUGAAGCAUGAUACCCAGUUUUUUGUGGAAUAUUUUGCAUUGGAUCUUCUCAUGGAUAGCAAUGGGGCUUGCCAGGGGGUGAUUGCAUUGAACAUGCUUUUAUGUACAUAAGGGCAUUUCUUCUAAAUGCUUUUAGUACAUAAGGGCAUUUACUCUUUUCCACCAAAUAUUUUGUUUUUCAGGUAGUUCAUUUCCAGGGUGAUGAUCCAGAUGCAGUAGUUCCUGGUCUGAUGGCUCCUGGGGGAGGCGGCUUGUGCAUCUGUUCUUGACAUAGUAGUUUUUGGCGAGCUUGUGCAAACAGGGUUGCAGAAAUUUGCAAGCCAGGCUUUUUUUUUUUUUUUUUUCUCUCUCUUUCAAAGAAGCCUUAUUUUUUAUAUAAUAUGCAAGACAAUGUGGAAUGACUAUCGUAAAUGCCAAUAUCAUUUAUGGAACACUAUAGGAGAGAAGCAGAAGCCUCUUGAAAAGGAUGCCGGAGAGAGGACCAUUGCCUGGCUCGAUAAAGCAAGAAACUCAAAUGGUUCGCUGCCAACUUCAAAAAUUUGUCUCGACAUGCAACGGGUGAUGCAAAAUAAUGCUGCUGUGUUUUGAACUCAAGGAACACUAGAAAAAGGUUACUUUGUUAGGUUGUCAGUUGAUUGACAAGGCAUGGGAGAGUUUUCAUGAUGUCAAAAUUCGUGACCGAAGGCUCAUAUGGAAUUCUGACUUAAUAGAGACCAUAGAGCUGGAAACCCUUCUAAUAAAUGCAUGAAUAACUAUGAACUCAGCUGAGGCAAUGAAGGAGAGUAGGGUAGCUCAUGCUCAUGAAGAUUUUACAGUCAGAUAUGUUUUCUCCUCAAAUAUCUUAUUUUCCUUUUCCUCCUCCUGAUUCAUUUCAUUUAACGACCAGUUUUUUUUUCCCUGCAGAAAAGAGAUGACGAAAACUGGUUGAAACACUCAUUAGGUAGCAUCUGCCAUCUCCUCUCUGUGACGUUAGCAUCAUGCAAUUGGCCAGUUGCUAUAUUUAGAAAGAGAGUCUCUACCUUAUCCAAAAGAGAGAGAGAGAGAGAGAGAGAGAGAGAGAGAGAGAGAGAGAGAGAGAGGCUCUAUCAUAUGAAUGACAUUAAAAAGCCUAUGUUGAAUAAACUUAUAAGCUUGGCAAAGUUUGGUUCUAACUCAUCACAAGAUACGGGAGAAAAUUAUGGCAUAAAAAAUUCAUAUGUGACUAUAGAA